GCCCGGCUGCUAGCUCAAUCGGUAGAGCGUGAGACUCUUAAUCUCAAGGUUGUGGGUUCGACCCCCACGUCGGGCU
rnacentral:tRNA from 1 species